UACGUAGGGUCCGAGCGUUGUCCGGAAUUAUUGGGCGUAAAGGGCUCGUAGGCGGUUUGUCACGUCGGGAGUGAAAACUCAGGGCUCAACCCUGAGCGUGCUUCCGAUACGGGCAGACUAGAGGUAUGCAGGGGAGAACGGAAUUCCUGGUGUAGCGGUGGAAUGCGCAGAUAUCAGGAGGAACACCGGUGGCGAAGGCGGUUCUCUGGGCAUUACCUGACGCUGAGGAGCGAAAGCAUGGGGAGCGAACAGGAUUAGAAACCCUCGUAGUCC
rnacentral:rRNA from 1 species